rnacentral:rRNA from 1 species
UACGAAGGGUGCAAGCGUUACUCGGAAUUACUGGGCGUAAAGCGUGCGUAGGUGGUUCGUUAAGUCCGAUGUGAAAGCCCUGGGCUCAACCUGGGAAUGGCAUUGGAUACUGGCGGGCUAGAGUGCGGUAGAGGGCAGUGGAAUUCCCGGUGUAGCAGUGAAAUGCGUAGAGAUCAGGAGGAACAGCCCGUGGCGAAGGCGGCUCUCUGGUCGAACAUCUGACGCUGAGACGCGGAAAGCGUGGGGAGCGAACGGG